UAUCAUUCGUUAUCGGAACUAGUUGAAUUUUUCUCUUCUUGAUAUGUUCAUAAUCGUUUUAACUAAGGGAUUGGAAGUCCACAAUGGCAUGCAUGCACACGAAAGCAUUAAGAUUUCAACUAUGUACGUGCAUUAAUGCAUGCAUCCUUUCUCCUCUAUAAAAGGCACUGCUACUCGGUUUGCUAGCACCGAGCAUUAAGCAGAAAGCAUUGGUAUGAGAAAAGAUGGGAAAAGAUGAUCCUCUGGUUUUGAGAAAAGAUGGGAAAGGUUUCCUUGUACCUUAGUGUGAUGCUACUACUAUUGAUGGUGGCUGAGUGUCGAAAAUUGGAGAAAGUUGAGUAUACUGAGAGCAUAAGAUGUGGUUUCGAUGGAGGGAGUGGAGGAGGAUUCUGUCAGGGUGGUGGUGCUAGAGGAGGCUUUGGAAGUGGGUCCGGUAGUGUGGAGGUUUAGCUGGCAAAUUUGGAGGUGGGUUUGGCGGUGGUUCUAGAGGACGGUUUGGAGUGGAGUAGGAUGCGGUGCUGGUGGUGGCUUUGGUGGUGGGCUGGUUCGGUGGAGGAAUUGGUGGUGGAAUUUGAUCCCAAAAUUUAAACCAUCUCAUGAAUUGCCAUGCCAUGCUUGAUAGUACAAAAUCAUGUAAUCACAGCUUUGAAUAAAUGAAGUUAUUGCUUGGCGCUUGAUUGGUGUGAAAAUAAUGUAUUCACUGCUUGACAAAAAAUGCAAUAAUCAAAUUACAGAAAUGUAGAUCUAUCUUGAAAAUUCAAA